rnacentral:misc_RNA from 1 species
GGCAUCCAGUGCUUGAGAAACAUCAAAGCUUUGGGAAAUGGCAUUGGGAGUUAUUUGAUUUGAAUUGGUCUGCGUACUUCUUUCUUCUCUUUUGACAUUAUCAGAACCUUCAUUUUCCAUAGCGUUGGUCUCAGAAGGCGAUGCCGCAAGUAAUGUUUUUUCAUCUAUCUGGGGGGAAGAUGUUGACUUGUUCUGAUCACUACACAUAUCAGUAAUUUUUUCUUCCUUUUGUUGGGUAGAGAUCACUUCUUUCAAGUCCGUCUGAUAUUUCCCACCAUCAUGCUGCACUUUGGAUUGCUCAGCAAUCACUUUAUCAGUAUCACCAUCCACCUCAGACCCACUUGAACUCUCAACCUUAGCUCCAGCUUUAGACUCAAUUUCUAUGCAAUCAGAAGUUAGGGAAGUUCUUUCUACAGAAAGAUCUGCACUUCCAUUGUUAUCUAAAGCAGGAACUUCACUUCCAUGGCUACUCAUUGCUUGAGACUGACCUGUAUCUACAGAUUUUUGCACGUUAUCCACUGCCUCAGGUUCUGAAACAAGCUCUUGAGAGCUCUUGUCUAUGCUAGAGUCAUUCUUAUCAAAUUCAUCUGAAAAAUCGCUAGCCCUCG